rnacentral:misc_RNA from 1 species
GAUGAAGAACGUAGCGAAAUGCGAUAAGUAAUGUGAAUUGCAGAAUUCAGUGAAUCAUCGAAUCUUUGAACGCACAUUGCGCCCCUUGGUAUUCCGAGGGGCAUGCCUGUUCGAGCGUCAUUAUAACCCCUCAAGCUCAGCUUGGUGUUGGGGCCUGCUGCACUGGCAGCCCUUAAAAUCAGUGGCGGCGCCAUCUGGCUCUAAGCGUAGUAAUUCUUCUCGCUAUGGAGUCCUGGUGGAUGCUUGCCAUCAACCCCCAAUUUUUCUAUGGUUGACCUCGGAUCAGGUAGGGAUACCCGCUGAACUUAAGCAUAUUAAUAAGCGGAGGA